AGUGGCGGACGGGUGAGUAACGCGUGGGUAACCUGCCUCAUACAGGGGGAUAACAGUUAGAAAUGACUGCUAAUACCGCAUAAGACCACAGCACCGCAUGGUGCAGGGGUAAAAAACUCCGGUGGUAUGAGAUGGACCCGCGUCUGAUUAGGUAGUUGGUGGGGUAACGGCCUACCAAGCCGACGAUCAGUAGCCGACCUGAGAGGGUGACCGGCCACAUUGGGACUGAGACACGGCCCAA
rnacentral:rRNA from 1 species